ensembl:lncRNA
CAGAGGUUCAUUUAAAAUUCACAUGUCAAAAGAAAUGAACAAAAUGUUUAAAGUAAGUCAUUCUGAUCAUAAUUGUACUUUGACCUUUAAACUCUCUGCUCUGUGUUGUUUCCUCUUUCAGACCCCAAAAUUCUCAAAGCUGAGUCUGGACAGAACAUCACUCUCCCAUGUCGAGCUCCAAACAGCAAAAUUACAGCUGUAAAUUGGACCAGAGCUGAUCUGAAGUCAGGAAAUGUUCUUUCAUACCGGAAUGGUCAGUUUGUUCCAAUUUUCCAGCAUCCAUCUUUUAAGAACCGGGUGGAUCUGCAGGACCGACAGAUGAAGGAUGGAGACGUGUCUUUGAUUCUAGAAAAUGUAAUGAUUAAUGACACUGGAGCAUACAUGUGUGGUGUCAGUGUGACAGAAAACGACUCAUGGGAGCCCAUCAACAUUGUUUACUUGAGUGUUACAGAUCAGUCGGGAAGAUAUCCUGUAUGGAUGAUAGUUUUUCUGGGUAUUCUUCUUCUUCUUCUUCCUCUUCUUCUUCUUCUUCUUCUUAUUUUUUGAAUCUACCCAAAAAUACAAAAACAGAGAAUCAAAAGUCGCAAACAGGUAUGAGGUUCUGCAAAGUUUUCAAAGCUGAAUUCUGAGUCUCCGCUUGCUGUUCCAAGACGUCAUUGCUACUGAAGAAAGAAAGGACAGAAAAAACUGACGAUGCUGAUCUUGAUCUUCAGUCUCCACAGCUGAACUGGGAAUCAGGCAAUCUGAGGACUGACAUAAAUGAACUCUUCUGAACAUCCAUUAGACGAAUGAAUAUAUUAAACAUCUCUGAUGAUCAUCAUGUUCAGACUCAGACCAACAGUGUGUGUCUGUGCUGUCUGUCAGUGACUCUGAACUACAGUUUCUUCAUCUUCAGGCUGUUCAUGAGAUUUACUGACACAAAGUCAAACUGUGUUACAAACAUACAUGAAUUUCUGAGCUCUGGGGCCUGUUCUUCGUACCUCGCUAAGUAAGUUAGCCGGAUUUGAAUGUUGACGAUUUCGCGUGAUCUUGGAUCGUUCUUACUUACUCCCGACUUACUGUGCAUGCUUCAGUCACCCUUUGCAUGGGAACAGGUAAAAGUGAUGGUGUGUUAUGUCAAACGUCAAACUACACACAAAAAACCCCACA